ACACAAUACACACACACAAUGUUGAUCUUCCAGUUAAUCUCAUGAUUGCUCUGAGAAGAGUCGCACUGAAAUCUGCAGACGCUCAAAGAAGCACAGAGAACUCAGCUCAGAAAGCUGCAGUCACCUGACUCUCUACAGCAAAUCAGAUCAGAUACAUCUGCAUCCAUGUAUACUUUUUAUGGAACCCAUGUGGCUCAGCCAGGAGUCCAAGUAGUCCAGCAGGCCAGACCUCAGGUGAUUAUCCAGCCCCCAAGACCAACAGUGGUUUUUCAGGGCGGGACUCCUCAGACUAUCAUCCAACCUGGUGCUGCCCAGCCGACGGUAGUGAUCCAACGUCCAGCGCCAACUGUGAGAGUCAUUCAGCCGCAGGUGAUGCCCACGGUAAUCCAAUCUCCAAUGUGCAAUGUUGUUUAUCCCCAUUAUUACUGAAAUCAUGAACCAGAACAAUGUGGAGGACGCCCCCUCCAUGAGAUGCGAUGAAAACUCCAGCAGGAUGAUGACUAUAGCCUGGUGUUAUUGUUAUGUUGAAAUUCUUUUUAAAAAUAAAUAAAUAAAUAAAUAAUAAAAAGCCUGUAUUCACGGUUAAGUUGUUAAUCUUUUCUCGGACAUUAGCAGAAACUCCUUUCAUGUGAUUUCUCUUUAUUUAUAUCCAUGGUGAUUAUAUAUAGCAUGCUAAAUUGUUAUGUCAUUGGUGUAUUACGGAAAACCUACAGAAACUUACAGGUGGAUGUCAGGUAAGGGUCAGGUGUGCAAAUGAUAUGUAAACAAGGUACUCAUGGGAGGGGAUAAUGCUGAUUUAAACCAUAAGUUUAAUGAAGAAGGGACAUUACAUUGUACCGGUGUAUUAAAAAUGUUAGAUUGAAA